UACGGAGGAUCCGAGCGUUAUCCGGAUUUAUUGGGUUUAAAGGGUGCGCAGGCGGGAGAUUAAGUCGGCGGUGAAAUUUUGCAGCUCAACUGUAAAAGUGCCUUCGAUACUGGUUUCCUUGAGUGUGGAUGAAGUAGGCGGAAUUUGUGGUGUAGCGGUGAAAUGCAUAGAUAUCACGAGGAACUCCGAUUGCGCAGGCAGCUUACUAAACUACUACUGACGCUCAGGCACGAAGGCGUGGGGAUCAAACAGGAUUAGAUACCCCCGUAGU
rnacentral:rRNA from 1 species